CUGGUCUCCUUCACCACCAGCAGGUCAACUCCCUCUUUACCUCUGUAAUCUGGUCUCCAUCACCACCAGCAGGUAAACUCCCUCUUUACCUCUGUAGUCUGGUCUCCUUCACCACCAGCAGGUAAACUCCCUCUUUACCUCUGUAGUCUGGUCUCCUUCACCACCAGCAGGUAAACUCCCUCUGUAGUCUGGUCUCCUUCACCACCAGCAGGUAAACUCCCUCUGUAGUCUGGUCUCCUUCACCACCAGCAGGUCAACUCCCUCUUUACCUCUGUAGUCUGGUCUCC
ensembl:lncRNA